CCUACGGGAGGCAGCAGUAGGGAAUAUUGCUCAAUGGGCGAAAGCCUGAAGCAGCCACGCCGCGUGGAGGAAGAAGGUUUUAGGAUUGUAAACCCCGUUGUUGACAGAGGAUAAUGACGGUAUUCCACGAUUACGCAUCGGCUAAAUCUGAGCAAGAAGCCGCGGUAAUACGGAGGCUGCCAGCGUUAUUCGGAUUCAUUUGGCGUAAAGGGUGCGUAGGCGGGCUUCUAAGUGAGAGGUGAAACCCUUAGGCUUAACUUCGGAAGUGGAUUUGAAACUGGGAGGCUAGAGUGUAGAUGAGGUAGGUGGAACGCUUGGUGUAGCGGUGAAAUGCGUAGAGAUCAGGAAGAACACUCAUUGCGAAGGCGGCCUACUGGGAUAUUACUGACGUUGAGGCACGAAAGCGUGGGGAGCAAACAGGAUUAGAUACCCUGGUAGUC
rnacentral:rRNA from 1 species